GCCCACUUGGCUAAGUGGUUUACAGCGCGGCACUUGUACAUACACUGCAAUGCCGAGAUCACUCGUUCAACUCGGGUAGUGGGCA